AUGAACGCUGGCGGCGUGCCUAAUACCUGCAAGUCGCGCGAACGGACGAGAAGCUUGCUUCUCUGAUGUUAGCGGCGGACGGGUGAGUAACACGUGGAUAACCUACCUAUAAGACUGGGAUAACUUCGGGAAACCGGAGCUAAUACCGGAUGAUAUUUUGAACCGCAUGGUUCAAAAGUGAAAGACGGUCUUGCUGUCACUUAUAGAUGGAUCCGCGCUGCAUUAGCUAGUUGGUAAGGUAACGGCUUACCAAGGCAACGAUGCAUAGCCGACCUGAGAGGGUGAUCGGCCACACUGGAACUGAGACACGGUCCAGACUCCUACGGGAGGCAGCAGUAGGGAAUCUUACGCAAUGGGCGAAAGCCUGACGGAGCAACGCCGCGUGAGUGAUGAAGGUCUUCGGAUCGUAAAACUCUGUUAUUAGGGAAGAACAUAUGUGUAAGUAACUGUGCACAUCUUGACGGUACCUAAUCAGAAAGCCACGGCUAACUACGUG
rnacentral:rRNA from 1 species